rnacentral:rRNA from 1 species
AUGGACGACGUGCAGCAGAAGGAGGCGCUGCUCCUCGCGGUGGGGGUCCUGACGGGAGGCGCCGCGGAUUUCGCCAUCGCGAUGCCCAAGGAAGCCCUGCGCGCCGCAGCCAGGCACCUGGCCCAGCUUGCUCUGGACGUAGCAGCUUAUGCAGAUGCCUCUGACUUCGACACCUCCGACCUGCGCGCCGCCGCCAAGGCGCUGUUGCAGGCAGAUGCGGGCAGCAGGUCAGAGGCCAUCAGCGACCUGGUACGAGCGUGCCUCUGGUUGGACGGGCUAGUGGCCACGCGAGAUGCGGCUGCCGCGGACGACCUCCGGCGAGGCGUCCUGGACGUGGCGCUGGCCGGGGGGACCCUGCUCCGUCUCCGCGUCCUCCCCGCGCGCGGGUUGGACUUCUUGCUCGCCGCCGCCGAGGGCGGCGCGGGGGGCGAGGCCCCCGAGGCUGAUGCGGACGCCCGCGCAGCGCAGGCGGAGCUCGCGAGGGAGAGGGAGGCGGAGCUCCGGAGGAAGAGGGAGGCCGAGCUCAAGAGGGAGGCUCAUGAGCCCACCACGGCGGCGACGACAUGGUGGCGGCGGCUCGCGUGUCGGUUCUCCAGCGCGAGGGUGGCCAGUGAGGCCGCGAGGGCGACGGGAUCCUGGUGGCGGCUCGCCAGUUGGUUCCUCAAGGAGACGAGCGGCGUCAACGAGGAUGACCCCGAAGCUCCGCUGAUAGCACGCAGCCAGCCUGACCCCAGCCCCGGCCCCAGCCCCAACUCCUCCCCCUCGUUUUUGCAGUGA